rnacentral:rRNA from 1 species
GACGAACGCUGGCGGCGUGCUUAACACAUGCAAGUCGAACGGAAAGGCCCUGCUUUUGUGGGGUGCUCGAGUGGCGAACGGGUGAGUAACACGUGAGUAACCUGCCCUUGACUUUGGGAUAACUUCAGGAAACUGGGGCUAAUACCGGAUAGGAGCUCCUGCUGCAUGGUGGGGGUUGGAAAGUUUCGGCGGUUGGGGAUGGACUCGCGGCUUAUCGGCUUGUUGGUGGGGUAGUGGCUUACCAAGGCUUUGACGGGUAGCCGGCCUGAGAGGGUGACCGGCCACAUUGGGACUGGGAUACGGCCCAGACUCCUACGGGAGGCAGCAGUGGGGAAUAUUGCACAAUGGGCGGAAGCCUGAUGCAGCAACGCCGCGUGCGGGAUGACGGCCUUCGGGUUGUAAACCGCUUUCGCCUGUGACGAAGCGUGAGUGACGGUAAUGGGUAAAGAAGCACCGGCUAACUACGUG